rnacentral:rRNA from 1 species
UACGUAGGUGACAAGCGUUGUCCGGAUUUACUGGGAGUAAAGAGCGCGCAGGCGGUCGUUCAAGUCGAGUGUGAAAGCCCCCGGCUCAACUGGGGAGGGUCAUUCGAUACUGAUCGACUCGAAGGCAGGAGAGGGUAGUGGAAUUCCCGGUGUAGUGGUGAAAUGCGUAGAUAUCGGGAGGAACACCAGUGGCGAAGGCGACUACCUGGCCUGUUCUUGACGCUGAGGCGCGAAAGCUAGGGGAGCAAACGGG